AUUAAAGGUCUGAAAAAAAUCGGACAGUACAGUAUAUUUUAAAAGAUCAGGAGGUCAAGAUCUACCAAGGAGUUCUCAACUAUGGAACAGAUUCCCAAGCCCCAACUGAGACGUCCUGAAUCUGAACAUCCAAGAUGUGAAUUUGAGAAGUCUCUGUUAAAAAAAAGGAUUGCCGACUUCCUGCCAAGGAUGGACUUAAUUUCCAGGGCCUUAUAGUUUACGGACUUGGAUGAAAUUACAGAAGUGCACUUUCCCCACAGACACAUGAAUAAAGUCCACAGAGACUCUUCAGAAAAUGAAAACACAUGAAAAGCAAAUUUCAUUCAGCAACUUUACAAUUAAUAAAACUUCCUUU
rnacentral:lncRNA from 1 species